ACGGCUCAUUACACCAGCCUUAAUUUACUUGACCUUGACAACCUACUUGGAUAACUGUGGUAAUUCUAGAGCUAAUACAUGCACCAAAGCUCCGAUCCUCGCGGAGAGGAGCGCAUUUGUUCGCCACAAAACCAAGCGCCCAUCUGGGCGUCCAGUGCUGAACCAGAACAACUCAGCUGAUCGCACGGUCUUGUACCGGCGACGUGUCUUUCAAGUGUCUGCCUUAUCAACUUUCGAUGGUAGUGUACCUGACUACCAUGGUUGUGACGGGUAACGGAGGAUAAGGGUUCGACUCCGGAGAAGGGGCCUGAGAAAUGGCCACUACGUCUAAGGAUGGCAGCAGGCGCGCAAAUUACCCACUCUCAACGCGAGGAGGUAGUGACGAGAAAUAACGAGACCGUUCUCAUACGAGGCCGGUUAUUGGAAUGGGUACAAUUUACA
rnacentral:rRNA from 1 species